rnacentral:rRNA from 1 species
AUGGCGGAGUAUGUAGUCAGGCCACUGGUAUCCAUGUUGACAAACAAGGCGUCCAGCUACCUGCUGGACCAGUACAAAGUGAUGAAUGGCAUGGAGGAGGAGCGUGAGACCCUGAAGCGCAAGCUUCUGGCGAUCUUGGAUGUCAUCCAAGAUGCGGAGGAGAAAGGAGCUUCCCGACCUGGAGUGAGUGCUUGGCUCGAAGCACUCAAGAAGGCAGCCUAUGAGGCGAACGAUGUCUUCGACGAGUUCAAGUACGAGGCGCUCAGGCGUGAGGCCAAGAAUAAGGGACACUACAAGAAGCUUGGCUUUGACAUCGUAAGCCUCUUCCCUGCUCACAACCCCAUUGUAUUUCGUUACAGGAUGGGCAAGAAAUUGUGCAGGAUUGUGCGCAAAAUUGAGAACCUUGUCAGAGAGAUGAAUGACUUUGGAUUCAACCAAACUCAGCAAGCACCACCAUCCAAGCAGUGGCGCAACACAGAUUCCAUAAUAAUGGACUCUGAGAAGGAUAUUGUCAGCAGGUCCAGAAACGAAGAGAAGAAGAAGAUCGUGGAUAUAUUGAUUGAUCAAGCUGGCAACAGGGAUCUCAUGGUCCUUCCCAUUGUUGGAAUGGGCGGGCUGGGCAAGACCACCUUUGCUCAGCUUGUCUACAAUGACCCUGUAACCAAGGAGCAUUUCCAGCUACAGAGGUGGUGUUGUGUGUCAGAUGAUUUUGAUCUUGUGAAGAUUGCAAACAACAUCUGUGAGACCAAUGAGAUCCAUCGUGAAAAGGCAUUGCGGAACCUUCAAAAUGAAGUAAGUGGAAAGAGAUACCUUAUUGUGUUGGAUGAUGUAUGGAAUGAAGUUGCUGAUAAGUGGGAAAAACUCAAGACCUGCCUGAAGCACGGUGCCAAGGGUAGUGCAAUAUUGACGACCACUCGGAAUGUGCAAGUAGCACAAAUUAUGAAGAUGUGUAUUGAUGAUAGCCAUAAUCUCGGAAAUCUAGAUAAAGUAUUUCUUAAUGAAAUAUUUGAGAAUAGAGCAUUCUGUUUGCAGAAGCCAAAGGCUGCUGAGCUAAGCGGUGUGGUUGAUAAGAUUAUGGACAGAUGUGGAGGCUCACCUUUAGCUGCCAAAGCCUUUGGAUCUAUGUUGAGUAACAAGACUAGCAUGAAAGAAUGGACAGACAUACUAGCCAGAAGCAACACUUGCAAUGAGGGCACAGAAACUUUUCUUGUACUCAAGCUCAGCUAUGAUGACUUGCCAUCACACUUGAAACAAUGCUUUGCCUUUUGUGCUGUAUUUCCCAAAGAUUAUGAGAUUGAUGUUGAAACAUUAAUUCAGCUAUGGAUGGCACAUGAUUUCAUACCACUGAAAGAAGGUGACAAUCUUGAGAAGGUAGGUAGAGAAAUUUUUGAUGAGUUAACUUGGAGGUCAUUCUUUCAAGAUGUCAAGCGAAUCCCUCGAAGAGAAUGGCGGGGGGAGCUCCGUCCUAGAACAAUAUGCAAGAUACAUGAUCUUAUGCAUGACAUUGCCUUGUCUGUUAUGGGAAAAGAUUGUCUUACUAUAGUUGAUAGGCCUAAUGAAAAGGAGUUACUGUCCACUGGUCCUACACGUUACUUAUUCUCAUCAUAUGCGUAUAUCAGAACUCUGUUGGAUGAUUAUUUGAAGAAACACUCUCCUGCUCUCCAGACACUGCUGUAUCCAUAUGUCUACACCAGUGGCUCAGCACCACACUUGUCGAAGUACAAUUAUCUGCGAGCACUGCAACUCUUCAGAUUGAGAAAACUUCCACUCCAACCAAGGCACUUACAGCACCUGAGGUAUCUUGAUCUCUCAAAUAACAUGUUGAUCGAAGAGCUUCCCAAGGAAAUAAGCAUACUGUAUAAUCUACAGACUCUUAAGCUUUGUAAAUGCAUAAGUCUUGGUCGACUUCCAGAGGAUAUGAAGUAUAUGGAAAAUCUCCGUCACCUCUAUACAAAUGGAUGCUCAUCAUUGAAGUGCAUGCCUCCAGGCCUCGGGCAACUCACUUCUCUACAGACUCUAACAUAUUUUGUGGUGAGCUCUAGUCCUGGUUGCAGUACUAUUAGAGAACUACAGGACUUAAAUCUUGGUGGUGAUUUAGAGCUAUCUCAUCUUCAGUUUGCAACUGAAGUAGAUGCUAAAGCAUGCAGCCUUGGAAAUAAAGAGAAACUUACACAUUUAUCUCUUAAAUGGGGUGAUGACAGCAGUGAUGAAUUGGGCCACCACAGGAAUGUGCUUGAUGCUCUUAAACCUCAUGCUGCCCUGGAGUUUCUAAGAAUACGCUCCUAUAGAGGUACUGGCUUCCCGGCAUGGGUGGUAAGUAUUAAUUUUCUGCAGCAUUUGACCGAGCUCCAGCUAGAUGGUUGUACAAUGUGUGAGGAAUUUCCCCAAUUUGGUCAAUUUAAGUCCCUUGAAGUUCUUGUUUUGAAAAGGUUGAACAAACUUCAAAGCCUAUGCAAUCACAGUUCAUCUGCAAUAUUUCCAGCAUUAAAAGAUCUCAGAUUAAAAAAAUUGGAGAUUUUUGAGAGAUGGGUGGCAACAGAAGGAGAAGAGUUAGCAUUUCCUCAACUUGAGAAUGUUAAAAUUAAGGACUGCCCAAAGCUAGCAAUUCUGCCUGAAGCACCAAAACUCAAGUUUAUAACUCUAAGAGAAGAAAAGGCACAGCUAUCCUUAUCAAUAUUUAAGUCCAGGUAUAUGUCUUGCUUGUCUGGGGUUGGCCUGUCCGUCAGUGAUGAUACAGAAGCAGCACCAGUAACAGAGCUUGAUCAGGAUUGUGAAGUAUCUCUUUGGAACCUGCGGUUGGAUGGUUGCAACUUUUUGUUCUGCUCAACUCCGUUGCAGCCAACUGUUGGGGUCUGGAAAUGGUUUGGUCAGCUUGUGCAUUUGACUAUCGAAUCUUGUGAUAUGCUCAUCUACUGGCCUGAAGAAGAGUUCCGUUGCUUGGUAUCAUUGAAUAGUUUAUCCAUUAAUUCCUGCAGCAAGCUAGUAGGACACACCCAGGGGAAAGGAUGCCGUACCCGUACUCAAGUAAGGGAUCAACUCCUGCCAAAUCUAAAAGAACUAGCAAUAUAUCAUUGUGGAAGUUUGACAGAGCUUUUCGUUCUGCCGCCAUCUCUCACAAGUAUUGAUAUGCUGGAUUGCAACAGUCUUGAGUCCAUACUGGGGCAGGAUGAUACAGAGCUGGAGAGUAUACCACACUUUGAUACCGCAUCAUCAUCGGAACACUUCAAUGACCUCACGUCCACAUGUUUGCUAGAGCAGUCACUUUCACCCAGAAUUAAUCCUUUGCCAUGUCUUAAUUAUUUGGGUAUAACUAGCUGUAAUAAGCUUCGUUUCGUGCCAGCGCAGUUAGAUGCACUCUAUUUUUUGGAUAUUGCUAAUUGCAAUGGGCUGGAGUCGCUGGAUUGUUUGGGAGACCUACCGUUACUGGAAUAUCUAUACCUUAAUAGAUGCAAACAUCUGGCAUCUGUACCAGGAAGUCUUGGGAGUUACUCGGCCCUUCAGAAGCUCCGCAUUGAAUACUGCCCAGCUUUAAAUAUGAAGCCACUUCAUGGACAUCUCCAACAGCGGCUUGAUAGCCUUGAAUUGAAGGAUCUAUCUAAGGCUGGUUCAAGCCAUCCUAAUGAAGGGCCUAAACUAUGGGAACCAAAAUCCUGGAAAUAUAUGAUUCCUUCACUGCGCAAGCGUGAGUCUGAAUAG